rnacentral:rRNA from 1 species
AUACGUAGGUGACAAGCGUUAUCCGGAUUUACUGGGCGUAAAGGGCGUGUAGGCGGUCUUGCAAGUCAGAAGUGAAAUUCCUGAGCUCAACUCGGGCGCUGCUUCUGAAACUGCAGGACUUGAGUGCUGGAGGGGAUAGCGGAAUUCCUAGUGGAGCGGUAAAAUGCGCAGAUAUUAGGAAGAACACCGGUGGCGAAGGCGGCUAUCUGGACAGUAACUGACGCUGAGGCGCGAAAGCGUGGGGAGCGAACAGGAUUAGAUACCCUGGUAGUCCACGCGGUAAACGAUGAAUGCUAGGUGUUGCGGGUAUCGACCCCUGCAGUGCCGGAGUAAACACAAUAAGCAUUCCGCCUGGGGAGUACGGCCGCAAGGUUGAAACUCAAAUGAAUUGACGGGG